rnacentral:rRNA from 1 species
UACGUAGGGGGCAAGCGUUAUCCGGAUUUACUGGGUGUAAAGGGAGCGCAGACGGCAGUGCAAGUCUGGAGUGAAAGCCCGGGGCCCAACCCCGGGACUGCUCCGGAAACUGUACGGCUAGAGUACGGGAGGGGCAGGCGGAAUUCCUAGUGUAGCGGUGAAAUGCGUAGAUAUUAGGAGGAACACCGGCGGCGAAGGCGGCCUGCUGGACCGAAACUGACGUUGAGGCUCGAAAGCGUGGGGAGCAAACAGG